UGGACAGAUUAUUGUAUUCGACUGUAUUCACGACAUGAAAUAUGGGAUUACACUGUUUUUAAAACGGAAAGUGAAUCAAUUAACAUAAUAGACUCCU
rnacentral:pre_miRNA from 1 species